AUUGAACGCUGGCGGCAGGCCUAACACAUGCAAGUCGAGCGAGCGGCGGACGGGUGAGUAAUGUCUGGGAACCUGCCUGAUGGCGGGGGAUAACUACUGGAAACGGUAGCUAAUACCGCAUCCCAUCAGAUGUGCCCAGAUGGGUUUAGCUAGUAGGUGGGGUAAUGGCUCACCUAGGCGACGAUCCCUAGCUGGUCUGAGAGGAUGACCAGCAACACGGGAACUGAGACACGGUCCAGACUCCAACGGGAGGAGGCAGUGGGGAAUAUUGCACAAUGGGCGCAAGCCUGAUGCAGCCAUGCCGCGGGUAUGAAGAAGGCCUUCGGGUUGUAAAGUACUUUCAGCGAGGAGGCGUUACUCGCAGAAGAAGCACCGGCUAACUCCGUGCCAGCAGCCGCGGUAAUAC
rnacentral:rRNA from 1 species